rnacentral:lncRNA from 1 species
UCAGACAUCAUGACGUAAUACUUAGCGGCACGGCAGUGCAUCAACGGCAUGAAGUUGUUGGCUCUUAUAGUGGCGUCUUUCGCAGUAAUCGCCUGUGCUUCAAACUUUUCGCAGGCACGCACCGACCCACCAAUGUGGUACACGGCGCUACAAAACGUGGCUAUCAGGUUAUGUACAAGAGCUCCUUGCGAACCCCAAAAGACAUUUCUUGGCUUUUGCGGUAUUGGAUGCACGUGUAGGCGACGGAAGCACGAUUACCAGUGCAUGUCCAUAUUUGACUUGGAAUAAAUAUAAUGCACAAGGAAAUUACUUGGUGUUUGAUGCCACCGCGGAUUCACUGUAAACAUGGCUAAACCUCCA